ensembl:lncRNA
AUGAGCUCCCCAUCACCAAUUACCCAUGUAUUCUCUCUGUCCUUGGAGGAUAGAAAUGAAGAUUCCCUACCUACACCAUCUGUCACAGUAUCUUCGCGGGACGUUUCCUCUUCCCUUCCUCCUAACCAUUCAAUCGCCCAAGACAGUGAGAUGUCAUCUUUGGAGCAGAGUGAUAUCUCACCAAACACCAUGGGUAUUCCAAGUCAGGAAUUUGUUUCAUCACCUGGGGACACACAAGCAGAUUCUAGCACAGUAGUCCUGUUGUUACAAAAGCCAGAACCAGGCGAGAUGAGUAACGAACCUCGACUUCGCAGCCCAAGCAUAUCAUCUUCAAGCUCCGUCUCUGACUCUGUGAAAACUCCAGAGGAUUUUGACCCUGCACAUGUACCAGCACAGCUGGAUCUACCAGUCACAGUCCAGUCAUCAUCUAUGAUAUCUGAUCCUGAAUCUGAAAAGCUGGCAGCUUUAGGCGCUCGUGUGACAUCAGCAGAGCCAGGUGUGGAGAUCCAGUUCGAUAACCCAGAUGUUCCAGAACCUUCUCCAGAAUCACCCUCAGUGGAGUUUAGGACGGUGGGAGAUUCGGCUGCAGUACAGCUACUGUCAGGAGUGCCAUCACCUGACCAGCAGAGUGGAGUUUCACAUGGAUCUAAGUCAUGGACAGAACUGGCAGUUUCCAUACUCCGGCAGGCGGAAUCCUUCUUUUCAACACAGGAAACUGCGGAGCAUAAUCCUAACAAUUCUGUCCAGCCCCCUGAUCAGAUUCAGAAUCCCCUUAGCCCCUACCCCCAAGAACUGUCAGCGGAGGAGUCAGCCUCCACACCUGAACUACCAGAAUCCUCUUCCUCGUCACAGGAAAUUGCUGAGAAUAAUCUAAACAUAUCUGACCAGACCCCUGAUAGAAUGCAUAGUUCCCCAAGGCCUUGCCCUCAAGAAUUGCCAGCAGAAGAAUCAGCCUCCACACUUCAGCUGUCAGAGCUGUCCUCCUCAACAGAGAUAACUACUGAGAGUACUUUAAAUGUAUCUGAACAGCUCACUGUGUUCGAGUUGAGAGUGGCUGAGCUCGAGUUGAGAGUGGCUGAACAGUCCAUCAUGGCAGACAACAUCAUGGACGGUUCUGACACACCUCCGCCCCUCUCUGUACUUCCAUCGGCAUCUAUUCAGCCUCCAACCCAUCUGGAACUUCCUUCCACAUCAUCCAUGAAACACACAGCAAUGCAUUAUGGGGUUGCAUAUCCAGAAUACCACUCAACCAGCAUGCACCUGUCAUCUGCCACUGGUGCCACACUGCAUCCACAGCUUGGAAAUAUUUACCCCACACCAGCCCUCCAGUACAGACCAGGCUACUGCCAGGUAGCUCCUCAGUUUGGUGCUACCUACUUAGCACCACACCCUCAAUAUAUAGCCAGCUUCAUCCCCCAGUACCCUCAAUUGAGUGUGAACCACCCGCCACAAGAAGCGCUGGUACACGCUAAUUACCCGCCACCAGAUCCUCAGGCUAGUAUUAGUGGUUGGCCACCGAAGCCACCCAAUCUGGAUCCAGACGGUCCAGCCCAGCGCCAGAACACCCCGAUGGUCGACAUGGAGACGGGCCCGUGUCAGGGCUUCUCUUUGGGCCUGUACAAGAAGUACAAGUUGUGGCAGCAAUACAGGCCCAGGGCUUGCAUGUAUUUCUCUAGCAGCCAUGACUCUGAUGCGCUGGCCUGCUUCUUCGUGUAA